UACAUGGGGUGCAAACGUUGCUCGGAAUUAUUGGGCGUAAAGCGCACGUAGGUGGUCUGUUAUGUCAGAUGUGAAAGCCCUCGGCUUAACUGAGGAAGUGCACCUGAAACUGGCAGGCUUGAGUACGAAAGAGGGUCGCGGAAUUCCCGGUGUAGAGGUGAAAUUCGUAGAUAUCGGGAGGAACACCUGUGGCGAAGGCGGCCCCCUGGUCGGAUACUGACGCUGAGACGCGAAAGCGUGGGGAGCAAACAGG
rnacentral:rRNA from 1 species